rnacentral:rRNA from 1 species
GAUGAACGCUAGCUACAGGCUUAACACAUGCAAGUCGAGGGGCAGCAUUUUUAUAGCAAUAUAAAAGAUGGCGACCGGCGCACGGGUGAGUGACACGAAUCCAACCUGCCGAUAACUCGGGGAUAACCCUUCGAAAGAAGGCCUAAUACCCGAUGGCAUAUCCCUUCCGCCUGGUUGGGAUAUUAAAGAACUUCGGUUAUCGAUGGGGAUGCGUUCAUUAGCUUGUGCGGGUAACGCCCACAAGGCUUCGAUGGAUAGGGGUUCUGAGAGGAAGUCCCCCCA